rnacentral:lncRNA from 1 species
UUUUUUUUUUUUUUUUUUUUUUUUUUUUGCUUUUCAUGGUUACAUCUGCGGCAUAUGGAAGUUCCCAGGCUAGGGGUUGAAUCAGAGCUGCAGCUACUGGCCACAGCCACAGCAGCCAGAUCUGAGCUGCAUCAUCAACCUAUACUAGAGCUCACAGCAACGGCAGAUCCUUAAUCCACUGAGCAAGGCCAGGGAUCAAACCUGCAUCCCCAGUUGGGUUCUUAAUUCACUGAGCUACAACAGGAACUCCCGAAAAGUUAAAAUCGUUAUGAAAAGCUUAGACAGUGCUUUGGUAUGUUGGUUAUCUGUUUAUUUGUUUAAGAAAUGAAUGACUAUGAUUAUUCUAGCUUAUUUCAGAAGGAUCAGUGCAUACCAGCAUUCUUACUCCACGAGGUCUGGACAAGAAGGCCUGGUUCAAACUUGUGAUUGACACUGUGCCUAUUCAUUCACUCAAUGUGGUGGCUCCAGAGCUCCCACCAGCGGCUCUCGGUGACCCUGAGAAUAAAGUCUGCAGGAGCCUCUCCAUCAGCCUUGGGAAGAGUCUAAACUCCUGAGUGCACAUCUGUGUACUCUGGUAUCUAGUCACAUCUCCCCACCACCACCCCUUCCUAUCACAUAAAACUCUUCCAAUCCCUCACAAAAGUCAGGUUCUCUCACCCCACUGUUGCUUCUUGUGUCACAGGGUUUCUCAGCCUCAGCACUAUUGUCAUCUGGAGGCUGAAUAACUUUUGACUGUGGGGAUGGUUCUGUGCACUACAAGAUGUUUAGAAGCAUCCUUGACCCCUACCUGCCAGAGAGAUGCCAGGACCACCUCCCCUCCCCCCAGAUGUAACAACCAAAACUGUCUAUAGACACAUGGACAGAAAUCCCUUGUGGGGGCAAAACUACCCCUAGUUCCCAGGUGGGGUCCACUCUUCUAUUGAGAAGGCUUUUACCCCCAUUUCCCUGGCUAACGUCAACUCAUCCUCAAGAUUUCAGGUAAGAUGUCACCGUUGCAUCUGCAGUGUCAACACCACUGCUGUAUCCAAGCACAAAGGUGAUCAGACAAACAGCAGCAUCACCCAGUGCACAUGGAGAGGACUGGGAGGACCGCGGAGGCAGCCGUGAAGGGGAGCCGCACUGCUGGCUGGAGGUGGCACAAGAGGGUGAGAGUCGAGUAAGGAAAUAGGGUGGCUUCAAGGUCCCUGAAAUGAGGGAGUUACGAGGGGGUGAAGAAACAGGAGGGAGCUGGAAAGAGGAGGUUGCGUGGAAGAGGAAGGAAGGAAGAAAAUGAUGAGUCCAGCUUUUGAAGGGAUACUUCCAGGCGCCUGUGAAAGGGCUCACCACCCCCGAUGACGAGCGAGGCGAGGGCUCAAGAUGGGAGAGGAGGGAGAAGCUGCUGUACCUUCUUUCUCGCCCAGAGUUAAAUCUGCGUCCUUAGAGGGCCCAUCCAAAAUUGCCUGGAACCCGCAAACGCCCUUUUCCUCUCCGCCACACCAUCCAUCCCGCCUCUCUCUCUCGCACACACCCACCCCCAUCUCCUCUGCCGUCAAAAUCAUGCAAGACCUGCUGCUGCAAGUAACCUCAUUUUUUAAAUGGGGUUGGCACGGGGUGAGAAGAUGGAGAGAAAAGUGGGAGAAUAACUGUGCUGGAGAGGGGAAGCUCUCUUCAGAGCCCGGCUUCACUCUCAGAGGAAGGCCCUACAAGCUCGGGCACGAGAGUGCUUUAAUCUGAACUGCGGGUACCAUCUAGUGGCUGAUUCUUAUAACUAGUGGAACUGAUAGCUGCUGUGGAGACCAAAGUUGGCAAAGGCAGCUGGAGGGCAGGGGCUGGGGGGUUAGGGAAUCAGGAAAGGAGGCGGGUGGGGAUUGGCUGGGCAGACAAGAGCUGUCCUUCUGGGUCCCAGGAUUCACCACCCAACCAGCCUGGAAGAGGGUUCCUGAACUGCCGUCAGGCUGCCAUCUGCAGCUGGCCCUCUCCGGGCAGGCUGGCUUCUCACCGCCACACCACUGCCCUAGAAUCUUCCCCAGACCCCUGGGCCCACUUCUUUGCCUGAUCCGAAGAUUUCUCAUGUUCGGUUGAGGCUGCCCCUUUCUGGUGUUUUCCUCCUGAUUAUUAGCAGUCUUUAUUACCAGUGCCUGACACAGUAUUUCUUGUUUGGAUAUCCAACAAGCUUUUAAUUAGAGAAGCAACAGGAAGAGAUAUGAAGCUGCAUUAAUGCAACUGAAAACCCAGCACAGCUAAAAGAAAGAUAAUCUCAUAGAUAACAGCAUUGUUGAAAAUGACAGGAACAGCUUCCAGUAAAUAACUAAAUGGAUAAAUCCCAGAGCGGGUCAAUUGUUGUUAGUUAAUAUUUGAAGCAAAGUACAGCACUUAAUAAUGCGGCUGUUUCUUAUCCUUGUGGGAGACAAAUAACAAGAAUUGGGAUUUCCACUUUAGAGCGUAAUUCUGGUUCAUUUUUAAGGGCCCCGGAUCCUAUAAUUAUGAGCAUAAUGAAAGUUUGUCUUAGAAAAAAUCCUUUCACCAUCAACUUCCAGAAAAGCGAUCUCUAAAAUGCUAUUCAUCCCAAGGAAUGUCACGAACUGACCUUACAUCAGCUCAUGAGACAGACACUGAAAUAAAUCAUUUGCAAAAAUGGUCACAAUUACUCCCCUCCUAUAUUUAUUCUCUGAGUCUGGGCUGGCUUUGAUGUUAUGUCCACCCCCUCCCACCGCCCCUGCAAAUGCGUUGGAAGACACUUGCCAAUGCUGAGCCUGGGGCUCAUGAGGCCUUGCAUGUUUCAAUUCAAGCUCGAGGAACCCUACCAGCUGCCAAGCAAACAACUCCAGACAGCCUGGUGGAGCUUGCAGGAGGACACAGAGCAGAGACAACCAUCCCAGCAACACACAGCAACAUGGGGGAGAGCCCAGCAGAGAUGAGCAAAGCCAUUCACAGAUGCAUGGGUGGGUCCAGGAGAAACCAGAGGCACCACCCAGCUGAUCCCAGCCGGAGCUGCCAGCCUUCAGAAUCAUGGGCUAAAUAAAUGCUGAUUUGCUUUAAAACUCUCUUGGGGUGAUUUAUGACAUGGCGAUCGCUAAGUCUCAUAAGCACUGUGGCUAAGUCACAUCUUAGAAACUUUAUUUUCCUGACUGAAUAGGAAAUCAUGAC